rnacentral:rRNA from 1 species
UGGGGAAUUUUGGACAAUGGGCGAAAGCCUGAUCCAGCAAUGCCGCGUGUGUGAAGAAGGCCUUCGGGUUGUAAAGCACUUUUGUCCGGAAAGAAAUCCUUGGCUCUAAUACAGUCGGGGGAUGACGGUACCGGAAGAAUAAGCACCGGCUAACUACGUGCCAGCGGCCGCGGUAAUACGUAGGGUGCAAGCGUUAAUCGGAAUUACUGGGCGUAAAGCGUGCGCAGGCGGUUUGCUAAGACCGAUGUGAAAUCCCCGGGCUCAACCUGGGAACUGCAUUGGUGACUGGCAGGCUAGAGUAUGGCAGAGGGGGGUAGAAUUCCACGUGUAGCAGUGAAAUGCGUAGAGAUGUGGAGGAAUACCGAUGGCGAAGGCAGCCCCCUGGGCCAAUACUGACGCUCAUGCACGAAAGCGUGGGGAGCAAACAGGAUUAGAUACCCUGGUAGUCCACGCCCUAAAACGAUGUCAACUAGUUGUUGGGGAUUCAUUUCCUUAGUAACGUAGCUAACGCGUGAAGUUGACCGCCUGGGGAGUACGGUCGCAAGAUUAAAACUCAAAUGAAUUGACGGGGUCAUAGCUGUUUCCU